rnacentral:lncRNA from 1 species
AAGAAGAAUAUCACCAAACUGUAGUACUGAAUGACACAAGUGGACAACCUAUUGAACAGAAUACCACCAAACUAUAGUAUUGAAUGACACAAGUGGACAACCUAUUGAAUGCCUUGUAAAUCACAACCAAUUACAAUAGAAGGAUGCAAUUAUAUAAAUAUACUUGUAUUAGCUUUAAUAUAUAUAGACGCUUAUGCUCAUUUCCUUGUUUUAUGUUAUAAGAGUCAACUAAUAAAUCUUAAAUUUGAAAUCUGUCACUUAAAAAAAAUUCAUUGAAAUCUGUUACUUAAAAAAAUCCAUUAAAAUUCCCUGAAAUCUAAAUUGACUACGCCCAAAAA